rnacentral:tRNA from 1 species
GGGCCGUUAGCUCAAUUGGUAGAGCAGCUGACUCUUAAUCAGUAGGUUCGGGGUUCGAGUCCCUGACGGCCCA